UACGAAGGGGGCUAGCGUUGCUCGGAAUUACUGGGCGUAAAGGGCGCGUAGGCGGACAGUUUAGUCAGAGGUAAAAGCCCAGGGCUCAACCUUGGAACUGCCUUUGAUACUGACUGUCUUGAGUUCGGGAGAGGUGAGUGGAAUGCCGAGUGUAGAGGUGAAAUUCGUAGAUAUUCGGCGGAACACCAGUGGCGAAGGCGACUCACUGGCCCGAUACUGACGCUGAGGCGCGAAAGCUAGGGGAGCGAACAGG
rnacentral:rRNA from 1 species